GUUAGGAAUAUUGGACAAUGGGCGCAAGCCUGAUCCAGCCAUGCCGCGUGAGUGAUGAAGGCCUUCGGGUUGUAAAGCUCUUUAGUCCACGAAUAUAAUGACUGUAGUGGAAGAAUAAGCCCCGGCUAACUUCGUGCCAGCAGCCGCGGUAAUACGAAGGGGGCGAGCGUUAUUCGGAAUCACUGGGCGUAAAGCGUGCGUAGGCUGUUUUGUAAGUCAGAAUUGAAAGCCCAGGGCUUAACCCUGGAAUUGCUUUUGAAACUACAAGACUCGAAUUCGGGAGAGGAUAGCGGAAUUGUCAGUGUAGCAGUGAAAUGCGUAGAUAUUGACAGGAACACCAGUGGCGCAAGCGGCUAUCUGGACCGAUAUUGACGCUGAGGCACGAAAGCGUGGGGAGCAAACAGGAUUAGAAACCCCUGUAGUCC
rnacentral:rRNA from 1 species